AUUGACCGCUAGCGGCAGGCCUAACACAUGCAAGUCGAACGGGUGGAGGACGGGUGAAUAAUGUCUGGGAAACUGCCCGAUGGAGGGGGAUAACUACUGGAAACGGUAGCUAAUACCGCAUACCAUCGGAUGUGCCCAGAUGGGAUUAGCUAGUAGGUGGGGUAACGGCUCACCUAGGCGACGAUCCCUAGCUGGUCUGAGAGGAUGACCAGCCACACUGGAACUGAGACACGGUCCAGACUCCUACGGGAGGCAGCAGUGGGGAAUAUUGCACAAUGGGCGCAAGCCGGAUGCAGCCAGGCCGCGUGUAUGAAGCAGGCGUUCGGUUUGUAAAGUACUUUGAGUGAUGAUGCGUUAUUCGCACAAUAAGAACCGGCUAACUACGUGCCAGCAGCCGCGGUAAUAC
rnacentral:rRNA from 1 species